CCCGCGCCGGGGCUGGGCCCGGGGCCGCGGGGGAUGCUCUGCGCGUCCCCCCGGGGCUGCUCCUGCCGUGCCCCGGCGCUGUUUGGCUCGGGCUUUGUGUCUGCUCCGCGUUUUCCUUUUUCCUCGCUGUUGUCCUCUUUUCCCCCCCUAGUGCGUUUAUUUUAAUUUUUACGUUCUCGCACCCGUUCCGUCCUUGCCGAGCAUCAGCCCAGCCGGGCGCUGCAGCGCUUUGGGGCCUACGCGCAAUGGUUGCAUUUCAACUUCUCCCAACUUUCCUCUCCUGGUGUUUGUGCAGGGCGAGAAAAGAUGAGUCCGUGGGCAAAUGUCAGAGGGAACUUGCAGGUUUUUUCCUCCCUCUUCCCCUUUGCCUGGGGUGCUCACAGGAGCCGGAGCCAGGGGAGGCUGCUGAGGUUCCUCCAGCUCUCACAAGGAAACGCUCCAGCACGGAUCAUAUUGUCUCUCUGCGCUUCUGGAGUCGUGCCUGCUUCUCAGUUGUCACUUUAGAUGCUUGAAUGACCCUGUUUUUCUCUGUAGUGGGAGUAGUACGCUUAAAGAUUCAAUUAGUGUUGUGCAAAUCAAGCAGCGAAGUUACGUAGUUUAAUUAUGUUGCAUUUAAUUAGCAGAGAGAAAUCGAUGCUGCUUUGUAUAUUUCAUGGUGGGGAAUAGCUCGGCUGUCUGCUCCUGGGCAGCGCAGGGCAGCAGCCCUGGUGGGGCUGUGCGGAGCAUCCAGGCUGUGCGGAGCAUCCAGCCUUCCCAGGACAGCAGCCAGGGAUGCGGGAGGGAUCCCCGGUUCCAAGGAUGCGGUCGGUGGCAUCGCCUUCUGGCCGUGCUCCUCGCAGCCUGGUGCGCUCCGUGCGUUCUGCAGCGGCCCCGGGGGAUGAGCAGCCUGCCAGCAGCGCGGCACCUCGGCGUGCUUCCAGCUCUUCGCGCCGAGUUCCCGUCUAACAAGUGUGCCCCGCAUCAGGGGACAAAUGUGACUCCAGAAAUAUCGCAGGUUCAUCCCCUGCUCCAUCCCUUUCAGAGGAUCCCAGCGUAGCUUUGCUCCUGCAGAGUUUUUCCAUGCUGGUCCCUUACUCCAGCGAGCAGGGAAGGUGUUAGCAGAGUACACAGACCUCGGGCCAGCUCUGGAAUAAUUGCCACUUGUUUAUGCUGGAGGUGAAUUUGGCUUGGGAUUUAGUAACUGUAGACAGUAAUUACAGACGUAUAAAUAAGUGAUCACGUUUUGUUUAUUCGCGUGCAGUAAAUAACCCUGGGAGAAUAGUAAAUAGAGCUCCACACCAGAGAGGCAGCGUGAGGAGUUCAGGCACAGGAAGAUGACUCUGGAGACACACACAAACUCAGCACGGUUCCAUAAACAAUAGAACAGAGAGGCCAAGAAAUACCAUAUAAAUAUAAAUACCAUAUAAAAUGCCAUAUAAAAUACCAUAUAAUAGCAAUAAAAUACCAUAUAAAAGUCAUACCCUGCACAACCUAGAGACCAGCCACACUGAGCUCCCACUGAAGAAUUCAAGGAUCGUGCAAGAUCCAUCCCCAGGUCAGUGCUGUGAGUGCACUUGGAAGAUGCAGUGGGAGAAGCACUGCUGCAGGGAUAUUUGUUCCAGUGGAAGUCUAUCACAGUGAUGAUUUGCUGAACAGAAGAAACUAUAAAUCUGGGAAUCUGUCGUCUUUCAACUGCUUGUACUUUCAUUUCUUUAGGAAGGAUAUUAAAAAAAAAAAAUCCAGUCCAAAUAUAAAUGGGAGGAGAAGAGGCAGGAAAGGAGGGCUGGGAGCCAGCUGUUCCAGAGCAGGAGUGUCUCCAUCUCUGCUUCUGAGUGUUUGAACUUCUGAUUGACACAAACAGUUUGGUUAAUAGCGUCACCGAAUAAACACAGCCUGUGACACCACAGCCACUCAGGGGUAAUGUUUGUCAAAACGUGUACAGUAGCAGAACAAAGGAUACACACUCAUGAAACAAAUGCUGUGAGGUCCAAGGUAGCUCUCAGUUGAGCUAGUGGGAGCUGGAGUUGUUUGUUACCGUAGCACCCAGUUUGGAAGAUCCCUUGUACCCCAGCAAAGGCUUCUGGAAAGAAAGGAAAGAAUCAGCGGAGGUUAAAAUCAAAGAAUAGCUACUCACAGCUG